CAAGGCUAAAAGCCAUAAUAGAUCUACUCCUUGAAUGUUUAUUUUAUAUAUAAGGUAUCAUGCUAAGCAUUUUGCAUGCCUUGUCUUAUUUCUCAUAGAAACCCUGUGAAAAUACUCUAUUGGUUUUUUCAUUGUAUAGAUGAGAAAACUGAGGCACCAAGGUCAUACAGUUAGUAGGUGAUGUGGCCCUGGAAUUAGAACCCAGGCAUCUUGACACGGAGUGCACUACUGAGCUAUUUGCCUCUUCCUUUAUAAUUCUUUCAAUCCCAUUCCACGAAGGAAGUUCAGGUUUAGAGCUGACUCGUCUUUCUCAUCUUUCCAAUAUUUGCUAGUUUCUCUCUAACUAGAGAGCAAACUGCAGGCUCAGAACCCUCUGUUUGGCUGACAUUGUAUUUGUUCCUAUUGGAUACCAUCUAUGUAUAGUAAAUAAUAUUGGACUUCCACUCAGGCAGAGACAUAAAGUUCCUUUUACUUAAGGGAAAAGUGAGUUAUUGAAAGGAAAAAUUUAAGUUGAUAAUAAAAACAGAGAAUUGUGAAGGUGAUACCCAGUGGUGUGUGUGGUACUAGGAUGGAGGGAAAAGAUGAGAAGGAGGUGAAUGAGUGACUGUAUUGGGGGUGGUACUGCAUUUCGGCACGAUGCUCCACUGGUCUCCAUUCUCAAGCUUUUUGGGUUCUCUGAGUUCUCCUGCUAUUUUAAAGAACCAGGAACUGCUGACAGGAAGGUAGUCAGCAUUCUUUAGAAAAUACUUUCCCAUUUCACUACUGGUUCUCCUUGUUUUCUUCUGCUCAGACUUUCAAGCCUCCUUGAAAUUUUUCUCCCAGGGAGCCCUGAUGCAGGAACCAGGAUCUCUGCACUGGAAAAGUAUGGCAGCAGAGUCUUCUGCUGUUCAUUUUUAGUUCUCUCUCUUUCCUGGGUACAUUGGAAAACUACACCUCCAGGCCUCCAUAUAAUUAGGUGUGUCUGUGAGACCUGAUUCUGGCCAAUGAGCUGUGAAGAGAAGUGAUGGGCAACAUUUGAGAGGGAGUGUCUCUUCCUCUGUGGCAGCGGCCUGGGAGCUCCAUGGUAGAGUCACCAGAUGCAAGCUGACUGGGUCCCUGAGCUCCCACUUGGAAAGAAGCUACCCCAGAUAUUCAACAGACCUGCAGUUGAUUUGGGUGGGUGAGAAAUAAACUUCAUAUGUGAUGCCACUGAGAUAGCAGGGGGUGGUUUGUUACCACACUUGACCUAGCCUUUCCUGGCCAAUACAAGCACAUCUCAUCAAGAUAUUAUUUAUUACAUUAGAAAGCACUUUCCACUAAUGGGAGAGUAUUUUUCUCUAGAGUACAAAGGAAAUUCCUAAAAUGUUCAAGAGGAUUUUGCAAACAGGGAUUACUUGAAACUGUAGGACUUGAGCCUUCAACAAAUGGUCCCAACACACUGGGACCCCAGGCAGGAUUGGGGGAUGAGGGAUGUGGAGGAUACAAAGGAAAGUUGAAAGAAUGUUGCAAAUUCUAUUUUUAAGAAAAUAUGCCUUUCCCAGAGCCAGCCCGCCUCCAGCUUCGAGGUUGACAGAAGCGCUCAGCAUGAUGCUGGUAGAUAAAUGUGGGAGUCGUUAUCCUCCUCUGAAACCAAGGGUGAAAAUCAUUUGCUGCUCUGGGAAGGUUCCUAUUUGCUUCUGUUGUCAAAAUUAACCCUGCAGGGCUUUCCUGGUGGCGCAGUGGUUGAGAGUCCACCUGCCAAUGCAGGGGACACGGGUUCGUGCCCCGGUCCAGGAGGAUCCCACAUGCUGCGGAGCGGCUGGGCCCGUGAGCCAUGGCCGCUGAGCCUGCGCAUCCGGAGACUGUGCUCCGCAACGGGAGAGGCCACAACAGUGAGAGGCCCGCGUACCGCAAAAAAAAAAAAAAAAAAUUA